rnacentral:rRNA from 2 species
AAAUUGAAGAGUUUGAUCAUGGCUCAGAUUGAACGCUGGCGGCAGGCCUAACACAUGCAAGUCGAACGGUAACAGGAAGAAGCUUGCUUCUUUGCUGACGAGUGGCGGACGGGUGAGUAAUGUCUGGGAAACUGCCUGAUGGAGGGGGAUAACUACUGGAAACGGUAGCUAAUACCGCAUAACGUCGCAAGACCAAAGAGGGGGACCUUCGGGCCUCUUGCCAUCGGAUGUGCCCAGAUGGGAUUAGCUUGUUGGUGGGGUAACGGCUCACCAAGGCGACGAUCCCUAGCUGGUCUGAGAGGAUGACCAGCCACACUGGAACUGAGACACGGUCCAGACUCCUACGGGAGGCAGCAGUGGGGAAUAUUGCACAAUGGGCGCAAGCCUGAUGCAGCCAUGCCGCGUGUAUGAAGAAGGCCUUCGGGUUGUAAAGUACUUUCAGCGGGGAGGAAGGGAGUAAAGUUAAUACCUUUACUCAUUGACGUUACCCGCAGAAGAAGCACCGGCUAACUCCGUGCCAGCAGCCGCGGUAAUACGGAGGGUGCAAGCGUUAAUCGGAAUUACUGGGCGUAAAGCGCACGCAGGCGGUUUGUUAAGUCAGAUGUGAAAUCCCCGGGCUCAACCUGGGAACUGCAUCUGAUACUGGCAAGCUUGAGUCUCGUAGAGGGGGGUAGAAUUCCAGGUGUAGCGGUGAAAUGCGUAGAGAUCUGGAGGAAUACCGGUGGCGAAGGCGGCCCCCUGGACGAAGACUGACGCUCAGGUGCGAAAGCGUGGGGAGCAAACAGGAUUAGAUACCCUGGUAGUCCACGCCGUAAACGAUGUCGACUUGGAGGUUGUGCCCUUGAGGCGUGGCUUCCGGAGCUAACGCGUUAAGUCGACCGCCUGGGGAGUACGGCCGCAAGGUUAAAACUCAAAUGAAUUGACGGGGGCCCGCACAAGCGGUGGAGCAUGUGGUUUAAUUCGAUGCAACGCGAAGAACCUUACCUGGUCUUGACAUCCACAGAACUUUCCAGAGAUGGAUUGGUGCCUUCGGGAACUGUGAGACAGGUGCUGCAUGGCUGUCGUCAGCUCGUGUUGUGAAAUGUUGGGUUAAGUCCCGCAACGAGCGCAACCCUUAUCCUUUGUUGCCAGCGGUCCGGCCGGGAACUCAAAGGAGACUGCCAGUGAUAAACUGGAGGAAGGUGGGGAUGACGUCAAGUCAUCAUGGCCCUUACGACCAGGGCUACACACGUGCUACAAUGGCGCAUACAAAGAGAAGCGACCUCGCGAGAGCAAGCGGACCUCAUAAAGUGCGUCGUAGUCCGGAUUGGAGUCUGCAACUCGACUCCAUGAAGUCGGAAUCGCUAGUAAUCGUGGAUCAGAAUGCCACGGUGAAUACGUUCCCGGGCCUUGUACACACCGCCCGUCACACCAUGGGAGUGGGUUGCAAAAGAAGUAGGUAGCUUAACCUUCGGGAGGGCGCUUACCACUUUGUGAUUCAUGACUGGGGUGAAGUCGUAACAAGGUAACCGUAGGGGAACCUGCGGUUGGAUCACCUCCUUA